rnacentral:rRNA from 1 species
GACGAACGCUGGCGGCGUGCUUAACACAUGCAAGUCGAACGGUAAGGCCCUUCGGGUACGACGAGUGGCGAACGGGUGAGUAACACGUGGGUGAUCUGCCCUGCACUUUGGGAUAAGCCUGGGAAACUGGGUCUAAUACCGGAUAGGACCAUGGACUUCACGGUUUGUGGUGGAAAGCUUUUGCGGUGUGGGAUGGGCCCGCGGCCUAUCAGCUUGUUGGUGGGGUAAUGGCCUACCAAGGCGACGACGGGUAGCCGGCCUGAGAGGGUGUCCGGCCACACUGGGACUGAGAUACGGCCCAGACUCCUACGGGAGGCAGCAGUGGGGAAUAUUGCACAAUGGGCGCAAGCCUGAUGCAGCGACGCCGCGUGAGGGAUGACGGCC